CUCUCCUGCUUCCUGCACCCUUGAGAUAACCUUGGACCCAGCCAUGCAAAGAUGAAUCUAACCCAACCAACUAAAGAGGAAAAGGCAAAAUCUGGGCUCUGAUAGACAUUGUUUCUAGAAGACGGACAGGACCUGGGUGCCAGUCCACACCAAUCCACAGUGGAAUACAGCUCCUCAUAAACCUCUCUGUUGGGAGAAACUCAAAGUCGUCACAAAGCAACCUCAACCAAGUCAGGCGAUGGAUCUCAGAGAAGGUUUAGGAACCACACUUGAGAUUCACUGGAGUUUCUUAGUAUAUGAAAACAGAAUUCAAUCUCUGCAAACCUCCUUUCUCAGUUUUAUACUCCUGGUAAAUGUCCCAGCACUCUGAUGCCUGUGUCAAUAAAAACUCU
rnacentral:lncRNA from 1 species